GGCGCUUAAAUUCGCAGAGAGAGUAGAACGUCCUUGCUCUGUUAUGAGACACAGCGUGAAAGGCGAAGAGCCAGCCCAAUAUAGUGUACACAUGAUUGAGAAUGGAGGAAUAUCGGGACCUUCCUUCUAUCACCUCAAAUCCCUAACUUUUCUACGAUUCCAUUCUCAAAAUUUUUUUGGGGAAUUUUUCGCAUCUAAGAAAAGGGUAAAAUAGGAAACGAAAUGGCUUUCCAGAUUGACAACGAUCACUGGGCUUUUUUGGAAGAGAUCGAAGCGCCAAUGUGGGUUGAUCUCUCCUUGGAAGCUAAAUCCAACAAACCAGACAAGUUAUUUUGCAGUGAUGACCAGUGGUUCUACACAUCCCAUCAGUUCCACCAAUUUUCUUCUCAUCAGUUGAAGUCUGCAUUUUCUCAUUCUGGAGAGGUGAGUAUGAUGUUGGACAUGGACAUUUUGGAACCAUCUUCACCAAAGCUUCCAACUUCUGUGUCUAAAUCAAGAGGCAAGGAGUAUAGGAGCAAGGAUUGGAAAGUGGAGAAUCAGGAUUUUACAUUGAACAAGCUGCACCCAGUUAAGGUUCCGAGCCAGAAACCUACAUACAUGAAUUCAGGAUCUUGCAGUGAAAUAAAACAGAAAUUUCAAUCUAUACGUUCAAAAGAAACUACCAACUCAAAAUCAAAUGUUGUUAGUGAUAGUAGUCAUAGUGGAUUUGUAAUACAAAAGUUCUCUUAUCCUAAAUCCUCUCAUGGGCAUUCUACAAGCGGUUUGAGUUCUGUGGCAAACAAGGCAAAUGAAAGUAGGACAGUAAGCACCAUUACGUCUGAGAGUGGUGAGGAACGAGAACAGAAGGUUGUGGAUGUAUCUAGCCAAACAUUUGGUCACACGAGUAGUUUCUUGUCCGUUGUGAAGAUUAAUCUUCGAAAAAGUGGUAUUACAAGACAAGCAUCGAGAGUGGAGAUUAGAGAUGAUAAAAAGCAAUCAAGUGGCCAUAAAUCUUCAUCCAGUAAGUCAAGUGUGGCUUCUUCUUCAAAUCCCAAUCAUAAUGCUGGGAGAUCAAAAUCUUCAUUAGUGAGGCCAAAAGAAAGUACCCCAGAUAGCAGAAAUGUGGGAAGGAUGACUCAUGCAGCCAAGAGCAAAAUAAAAUAUGGUAAUGAAGUGAAGUCAUCUAUUAUGAAGCAUGGUGAAGCGACCUCAAAUAACAAAAGGGAAGGCAAACCUAAUGUUGUCAAGUCAUCCUACCAGGAAGCUGCAAAACAAAAGGCUCAACAUCAGACUUUCCGCAAAAGAGCUUUGGUAUCAUCUAGAGUUAAUGAACAGAACUCAACUCCUGCUGCUUCAAAGCCCAAGGAGAAAUCAGAGGCUGUUAGGUUGGGAGGUAAUGGAAAAGAGAACGUGACAAGCCAGAAGUGCAAUACUAGAAGUGUCGCAGCUAGAAGCACGGUGGGGGAUCAAAAAGUGAUAAAGCAUAGCGUACAGCUAAGGAAUGGUAGAGAAGGACCAGUACGCCUACAGGUAUAAAUGCUAACGGUUAUCUAUGAAUUUUUUUCCCUGCAUCAUUUUCAAAGGAAAAAUGGAACUCAGUUUCACCCUCCUUAUGACUGCUAACUAACCAAAGUAACCCUUUCUUGAAAGCCUGGUUCCAAAACUUGUGAUUGAGAUCAACAGUGCAAAUUGUGAAAUCUUCUAGAUUGCCAAAUAUUAUGCCUUUCAUUUUGUCCUUAUGACCAUGAUGUUCCAGUGAAAGAAACUAGGUGUGAUUUAGGGUCUAUUAACGUUGAUAUUCAACAAAAAGAGUAGAGGGAACACAUUCUUCCACAUUCAGGGACAGAAAUAGUGUUAGUUUCCAUGUAUAAUGGGAGCUAUGCUCUGUUUUCUGGAUGGAUAGGUUUGAUUUGGAUGGGAGGAUCGGAAAUGGGAGGUGUGUAUUUUUGUUGUUAUUUCUGCCCUCUUAAAUUCUUGUUAAUGGUUCUGAAACUGGUUUCUUCAGUAGCUCUAGGGAGGUUGCAGCAGGUCCUAUACCUCCACUCUGGUUAUUCUAGUUGUGGAGGUAACUGAGUAGAACAUCAGAUACAGAAGUGGAAGGGAGGCCUUUUGCUUACACUUUGGGAUUGGGAGUAGAGGGUUAUUGAAGAUUUCUCUCAUAUGUUCUUCAAGUUGAAACAAAUUAUUUUGGCAGAUUUGGGAAAAAUCAGGGAUCAAUGCAAUUUGAAGAACCCUAAGAACAUAAGCCAGGGCCAAAAAGUCAUUCAUGUUCGGUAAAAUAAUGCUGCGGUCUAUCAGUUUUCUUAUAAAGGCAUUUUAAAAAAGAGCUGACUUUCUCUUAUAAAUGGCAUUUUCAAUGAACGAGACAUACAAAAAGAAAGCUGAUUUCUUGAGCCGGAGAAAGGAAGAGGUCAAUGCAGUUUGAUAAACACUAAGAAGGCGAUCCAGGGACGCUCCAUGUUCCAUGAUAUAAGGCUGCUGCUGCCUAGAAGUUCUUGUAUGUAUAUAGAUGAUAUAAACCAACGUCAUUUCCAUGAUAUAAUGCUGCUGCUGCCUAGAAAUUCUUGUAUGUAUAUAGAUGAUAUAAACCAACAUCAUUUCCAACACUGGAGGAAACAUGGAAUGAAACAACAGAGCUUUUGCCCCUA